rnacentral:rRNA from 1 species
ACACUCCUGCGGGAGGCAGCAGUGGGGAAUAUUGGACAAUGGGCGCAAGCCUGAUCCAGCCAUGCCGCGUGAGUGAUGAAGGCCCUAGGGUUGUAAAGCUCUUUCACCGGUGAAGAUAAUGACGGUAACCGGAGAAGAAGCCCCGGCUAACUUCGUGCCAGCAGCCGCGGUAAUACGAAGGGGGCUAGCGUUGUUCGGAUUUACUGGGCGUAAAGCGCACGUAGGCGGACUAUUAAGUCAGGGGUGAAAUCCCGGGGCUCAACCCCGGAACUGCCUUUGAUACUGGUAGUCUUGAGUUCGAGAGAGGUGAGUGGAAUUCCGAGUGUAGAGGUGAAAUUCGUAGAUAUUCGGAGGAACACCAGUGGCGAAGGCGGCUCAUUGGCUCGAUACUGACGCUGAGGUGCGAAAGCGUGGGGAGCAAACAGGAUUAGAUACCCCAGUAGUCCCAUGA